GUAUCCAUAAAAGUCCUAUAAAACCUGAUUGGUAAGAUAUAAGGAUUUCUCAUCGAAAAACUUUUCAGUAAUAGCUUUGUAUUUCUACAGAUUAAGAUGAAAUAUUUCUCCCUUUUGUUUCUAUGGUUAGUUUUUCAACCUUACAGCAGUGGAGAAAUGCAGGUAGAUUUUCUAAAAACUGUUAAAAAGUGGUAUAUGGCACCAACAUCGAUCGUAUGUCGGUUUGCAGGUCGAUGGGCAGUGAUCCCAUACAAGGAUGCAGCUAAGAUUCGAUGUAAUAGUUCCAGAUGUCAAUGUUAUAAACCUAUUCACAAGGUCAGUUAUUUCUAAUUUCUCAAACCAAAUUCCAAUGCUUUUAUUUAGUGUUUUGAUUUACAUUAUUUUAUAACUUUCAUUGAUAACAUUUGAUUCAAUGCUGAAAAAAGCAAUACAGAUUUUCUAUAAUUGUCUAAAUAUGUGAAUGUAUAUUAUAAAGAAUGUUUGGUUCCAAAUUCCAAUUCUAUGAUAGAAUCUAUGAUUAUUAUUAAGAUAUCAUCUUUCUUUACAAAUAUCAGUUUAUUUUUAGUUGCUACGAUCAUGAACCUGUAAGCAAUGAUCUCAAAAACUAUAUAGAAUAUCCUUUCAAUACAUAUGAUGCUACAUAUAAAAAUAAGAAGAUGACAUAUGAUGUCAAUGAGACAACUCUCCACAAAAGAAAUUAACGACUGUAGGUCACAGUUAGGCUUUCAUAAAUAAUUAAGAGCCAUACCACAUAGUCACCAAUAAAAGGCAGCGAAAUAACAAAUGUAUUUACAUCUAUUUCUAUUAAUUCAUUGACCUUGAGCAUGUACACAAUUAUCAUAAAAUGUAUAAAUUAUAAUGAUCAUUCAUUCAUUAUAUUUGAACAUAUCUUUUUUUAAGUUUGGUUGGGAUUCGAUCUUAACUACUUGAGUUCUUCAGAAACUCUGUGCUAACACUAAUGUUGGUCUAUUUAAGUACGUUUAACCAUGAACUUAGAUGUAGUGACAUAAAGAUCAAAAGGUAUCAUUAUAUGUGACCAUAUAGUAAAGCUAUUAUAUGAUGUAAUGUUAUGGAGUUAAAAUCUGGAAACACCAUUUUUUCUGCAUUAUUUCCAUCUAUUUUUAGUAUUCAUGACCUUGACCAAGGGAAAAGUUGUCAAAAAAUGAAUCAUGAUCUUUGAUAUUUUAAAGUGAAAAAUAUCCAAGUAAGGCUACAAUCUUUGAAAUAGCUCUUGAGUUACCAUCUUGAAACCCCUUUUUUGUACUAGUUUCAUUCUCUUCAUUACUAAACCUUGACCUUGGACGUAGUGCCUCAAUAUUAUUGAUAUGCCUUUCAUUAUAUGUGACCAUACAUCCAAAUUACAAUACCCCAUUAUCAACCAUUUAGAUUAAUUAUGACAAGUAUGGAAUAAAGUGUGGUGCAAUUCCAUUUAUCUUAUCUAAAGAUACAUGUAACUUCAAAUUUAUUGAUAACCAGCCGGUGUAACUUCUAAACCUUCUUCUCUUACAUACAAAAUAUUCUAGUAAAGACAUAAAUGACCUUCUGCUAAGGAAAGUAAAGUGAUACUUAGAAUGUUUAUAACCAAAAAUAACAUUUCAAAAUCUUUAUCCAAGUUAUCAACUAGCACUAUGAGCUUCAGUAUGCUCAGUAAAACCUAAAACCUAUUAAAGGGUCCAAGUUUUAUCUAGGGCCCCACCAUAGUUUACUGAACAUGUCAUCUUUGAGAUAAAGUGAGGUACCUUGAUAAUGAUAUGCUCCCCAAAAGUUACCUCGAUAUGCAAGUUUCAAUACACUAAAAUUUUCAAUCUUUUUUUUUUUUAAUUCUAAUGCAAGUAUCUAUAAAAAUAUGUUAUUGUCUUUGAAACACCACAUUCAGCUUCUAAUAAUUAAUCACAUUGACAAACAAGAAUGUGUCCUCAGUACACGAAUGCCCCACUCGCACUAUCAUUUUCUAUGUUCAGUGGACCGUGAAAUUGGGGUAAAAUCUCUAAUUUGGCAUUAAAAUUAGAAAGAUCAUAUCAUAGGGAACAUGUGUACCAAGUUUGAAGUCAUUUGUACCAAGUUUGAAGUCGAUUGGACUUCAACUUCAUCAAAAACUACCUCGACCAAAAACUUUAACCUGAAGCGGGACAGACGGACGAACGAACGAACGAACAGACGAACGAACGAACAGACGGACGGACGAAGGAACGGACGCACAGACCAGAAAACAUAAUGCCCCUCUACUAUCGUAGGUGGGGCAUAAAAACAAACAUGAUUACAACUAUUAACCUCAAAUGAUUGAUGUCAAAUAUUGGUUUCAAUCCAAGGUCAUGCCUGUGUCAGUGGAAAGAUAAAAGUACAUUUGAUCUACACAGAAGUUAUAAACAUUAAUUCGGUUUUUUUCACAAUUUUUAAAAAUGUUUAAAACAGAAACAUACCAGAUAUUGGUUUUUUUCAGUCGUUGAAAUGUUUAAAACAGAAACAAACCAUAAAUUGUUUCUCUCUCUUCCAGUGUCAUUUGAUAAACUAUUUAGAAAAGAAAUGUAGUUUUACUCACUACUGUUUAUAUCAAAUCAUUGUUCUUCAAGGAGGAAUUAAAUCAUAUCUUUUUCUGCAAAUAGCUUUUUCUGUAUGAUGAAAUUCUCAAAACAUGUAACAUAAGCUGAGAAAGGAAAACACUUCUAAUGCCUUGUUCACACAUACAUUUAAUUCGAAUUGAAUUCAAAUUGAAUGCAAAUCUAAUUCGCUCAUCACGUUCACACCCUCUUCUUUUUUCCUAAUUUGAAUAGAAUUCUAAUUUGCUAAUUCACAUUAGAAAUGUGUUUUUGUUAAUACGAAUUAAAAGUUAACGUCUUUCGAUGGUAAAGUGAAUUAGACAUGCAUUGCAAUUUGAAAAAUUCAUAAAACGUUUCGAAUGCGAAUUAAACUAAUUGGAAUUAGUUAAUCGAAUCAAAUUCAAAUUAUGUGUGAACCCAGCAUAUGUAAAUGAUUCUGUAGAUAUUUAAAGCAUUCAGGCUAAAAAGAGCAUAUUCAUGACAUUUUUAGGAUAAAAGUUGUAUGUUAAAGACACCACACAUAAUUUUAUAUAUUGAUCAUAUUCUGUACUUUUAAUUCCACUCUUUUUUUGCCUCCUUUUUUUGGGGAAAGGGGGGGGGGGCAAAAAUUGUUAAUUGAUAUAUAGAUGAUAGCCUUGACAAUUCUAGGCUUCUAAAAAAUUUGCACAUUUCUGUUGGGCGACAAACUUCUUCUUUCUUUUUAACUGCAUUGUAAGCAAAAUUUGAAGAGACAUCUUCAAAUGAUUUUAAAGCAUGAAAGUAUUAAUGCAUGAAAGUAUAGAGCACCAAUCACUGGCAAUAAUCUCACACACUUUGCCUGAGGUGAUGAGAUUGCAUUUCCAAAUACUAGCAAACAACUCUGCAAACACGUUUUAUUCAUAGAGUAAAGUUGUUUAUAUACUCGUAAAUCCUGUUGAUACUUUUAUUUUUGCAUUAUAUUGUGCAAGGACAUGCUAUAUACAGACUGUUUAUUAAAACUUUACACUAAAUCUGUUGGAUGUGUACUUGUUAAUAUUUCAGUCUUAGAAAACAUGAUUUAUUCAUUAGUUGUUAUUGGCAGGUGACUCACCAAUUGUUCAGAUUUGCUUUGAACACCUCUCAGUUUUUAAAAUAGCUCUUAGACAAAUAAAUAUACUUGACCACCUGCCAGAAUAUUGAUUUAUAUAAAAAUUGGUUAAAACAUGUAUGUGAUAUUUGAUUUGAUUUGUAUGGUUUAAUGCUGUACUAAAAAUUGUAUAAUUGUGGAUACCAAUCAUAAUAUGUUUACAAAUAAUUGGUUCAUUGAUUAUAAAAUUCUAGAUCUUAGAAGAGGCAGAUGUAAUAUAUCAUGUCCUGAUCAAUGGUUUUAUUAUAUUCAUUGGCAAUUAGAAUUAAUGGUUGACUGUGCUAGACCCUCAUGGAUUGUAAAGUUCGUUAAACACCCCAUUAUAGAAAUAUUAAUGUUUUUAAAAGUAGUGAUUAGUCAACCAAAAAUUAUACCAAUGAAAAAAUACUCCAUCAUGAAAUACCAAUGUAGCAAAAAAUACUGAAUAUAAUUUUCUUGUAUUUUUCAGACAUUCCUUCUAUGAAGAAAAGCUGAGGAACUAUUAAAGGAUGACACUUACAGAUUAAGGAUUUGAUAACAAGAAAUAAACUUACUAGAAAAGUGGAUUUAUACAAUGUAUAUUUUUGAACAGACC
rnacentral:lncRNA from 1 species